UACGGAGGGUGUAAGCGUUAUCCGGAUUUACUGGGUUUAAAGGGAGCGUAGGUGGGUCGGUAAGUCAGUGGUGAAAUCUUCGAGCUUAACUCGGAAACUGCCAUUGAUACUAUCGAUCUUGAAUUAUCUGGAGGUAAGCGGAAUAUGUCAUGUAGCGGUAAAAUGCUUAGAUAUGACAUAGAACACCCAUUGCGAAGGCAGCUUACUACGGAUAUAUUGACACUGAGGCUCGAAAGCGUGGGGAUCAAACAGG
rnacentral:rRNA from 1 species